AUAUUUCAACCAUCUCUUCUCCCAACACCUGAGCUGCAUGACAGGCAAAGCGAGGGAGGGAGGGAAUGGGAGGUGGGGGGUUAAAUUUAGAACCUGAGUCCAGCGAGGUCUCCUGCUUUUUCUAGAUUUGUGCUGCUGCCUGGCCUUGUAAAAAGUAGUAGCCGCUUCAGAAAACAGCAGACAGGAGACUAGAGCAAUCCUUUUAUCUGUUGGCAGGAAUGUGAGUGCUUUUCCCCUGGUGAACAAGGACUUCCAGGACUUUCAGGAAUCCUUCUAUGGCCGUAUGCACAGCUUUCUAUCAUCCAUCUGGACUUCCACUAUGUUUCUCCCUCUACAAAUGGGAAUAUGGCCUCCUCUCCAAGUGAGACCUCCCCCCUAGCACUUCACCACUGAACUGAUAAGUCAGCUUCUUCUUGACCUUUUUGACCUCGCCUGUCUUGCCGUAGUUGCGAAGAGCCCGUGCCAUCUUCUGGACCAGGUGAGAUGAGGUACCCCUCCAUUCUGUACGGAUGCAACAUGAAGGCUUCUUCUUGAACCGACCUACUUCAGGCACUUAGCUUCAAUUGUUUCUCACACUCUUUCAAAACUUUUCCCGCACCAUUGCACAACGUUUACCAAAUU